GUACAUUGUCGUUGAGUAGUUCUGAAAGCGCUGCGCGCGACUGCAACUAGGCGUUGCGGCAAGUUACGGUGGCAACUUCUUUCCGUGCUGCGUGAUUGUGACGGAGGGGACCGCCGCCAGCAGCAACGUCUCGCCGAUUUCGUCUUUGCCGACAUCGAGCAAGUGCAGCUCGCCGCACCGUCACAAGCGCCCGAAGUGUUGCGGUUUGCACUGCGUCUUUCAUUGUGAUAUGGGAGAUCGCAACGCACAGAGACGACCAGAUGCAUACGAAAGACUACCAGCGGGGAGUGACCUGUGCCAUAUUUCUCUUAACGUCUCAGGUACACUCUGGCGGCUCCUACCCCUGCGUCCUACCACCACCCUGUCCUGACUGCAUCCACUAGGGAGUUGGGAGCCUUUGGCGGCUUCUGCCACUGCGUCCUGCCACCACCAUGUCCCGACUACGUCCACUAGGGAGUUGGCAGCCGUAGUGAUGAUGCCAAGCAGGCUGACAGACCACAGAAAGAUUCCGGUUGCCUCGAAAUUUUACCCAAGCCAUGCCACACGCUCGGGCCAGGCCUCUUGCGAACGACGUAUAACCAGGCUCAACGCAUCAGUGUCGAGUGAGUCCGGAGAUCAGGGCAACCUGCUGUGCAACCAGCGCGCAACACUUGGUGACCCCUCUACAUGUUCUACCUACUUCACAGCUGUGCCUCACCUUCCAUCUAUCCAAACAGCAUCAACAGCUGUGAUCACUUAUCGAACCAUGGAUGAAUGUUGGGGUGGAGUGAUUUGAAGAGACAUUGUAUUUGUCUCUUCAAAUUCUUUGCAAAUACUUAUGUUAUUAUAAUUCAUAUGUGUCUUUAGUACCUAGUUUUUAAUAGUUCUUUUCUCUUAGAAUUCUCACCAACAACUCCUGCUAUUAUAAUGUAUACCCGUCUUCAUGCCCCGUUUCUCGUAGUUCUUUUGUACUUGUGGAUGUAAUUUAUAGCUUCUUAAUUCUUGUACAGAAGGCUCAAAUGCAAACUUAUGGCAUUUUUUCUUCCUUUGAUAAUCUACAGCACUGCAAUGUGUUCAAGAAAUGUAACAUAGCAUGGGCUCUGGUGCAGGAUAAAUUUCAGAGCAAUAUAGAGUACUUAUUUCAAGCUCCCGUUAUUUUUGAAAAACUCGAGAAUAUAGGAGCACAAGAAAGAAAAUAUUAAACUAGAGAAAUGUGGGUUCCCCUCAUAAGUCUGGUAAUAAUGUGACUUGCUUUCACUGCAAAGAUACCAGUGGUACUCGCAUACAAGGUUGGAGACAUGAAAGCUAUGAUGCCCUUGGCAUUUCUCUGCUUAUUUGCCACACUGACAAAUGUCAAAGGCAUCGUAGGUUUCAUGCACACAUUGGUUGUAUUACACCUUUUGAGUAUUGCAUUUCUCAAACACACAGGUCUACAGCAGUGCUUUAAAUAGCAGAUGUAUUUCCUAAUUUUCAGAAUUUGUUAGUUGCAAGAGUAACGGUACAGAUCAUGUAAAAAUAAUUUUACGGACUUUAUGUCCAUGGAUGCAUGCUUCUGAUUACAUAGUGCCAUGUGGUCGGGGGAUGAAUGUAUUUAUUUCCGAUUUAAAUAUUGGCUUCCAGGUCUGGGUUAGUCUCCUACACUGAGUAUUCUAGGUCAGAGGCCAUUUAUUAAAGGAAAGUGAAUUAAACUAGGAAUUUUAAACAUCAAAAGAUCUUGUUCAGGACACUAAUGUGACAAUCAACAAGGUUCUUUGUGCAUUCAUUUCUAAAUUUGUGAGGAUAUAUUUUGAAUGGUUUUAUUAAUGCGAGAACAAAUAUUUGUUUAUUCUCACACUAGAGUUGGCUGCCCCCAUUGGCAUACAACUCCUUUACAGACUAAAAAUUCAGUGUAUUAAUAGGCUGUUUGUGGUUUUGCGCACUCAGUAUUAAGGGAUGCAAACAGUGACAUACAAUAGAAUGCAAAAAAUGACUAAGGAAUGCAAGCAGGCCAUGGGGCUUUUUGGGCAGAUGCGUGCAUGUGCUAAUUAUAAAACUCCCUAUAGUAUACCUGAAGUCAUUUUUUAACCCUUUGGUAGAAACACUGAUGCACACUUAUUAAGGGGAAAUGCUCCUCGAAACAACUUUAAUUAUUUGUACUAGAGAUUUGAAUAUACUGCCAUUCAUAGGGAGAUUUAUGUAGAUUUGAAUUUUCAUUAAUUUUUGUGUAGCUGGUGUUUUUUUAGUUUGUCCUACAUAGUGGCAAAACAUUUUUUGUGGGCACUUUCUUGUGUAUAAAAUUUUCACAAAUAGUUUCAUGCUGUAUCUUAUUUAGCUAGUUGUAUACCACAAAGUGGCGAUACCUAUCCAAACAGCUUGUACAAUUACUGGAACUAUGCAAAAAAUAUUAGGCCACUUUAAAUAAUUUUUACAGAUUGCAAUUUGAAUUAGAUAUCAGUAUUCUGCAUAUCUUGAAGAGUAGUAUGCCAAAUUUCAUUUGUAUAGGACAAUUAUAAGUGCACAAGGUUAUUAUCAUGCUAUUGUGAGAAAAAAUUAUUGAAGUAUUCUCAGUAAUCUUUUGUCACAAUCCAUGAGAAGUAUGCAAGAGUAGUAGGCAGGCCUGCCUGCCUACUAAUCUUGCAUACUUCUAGUAACUUUACAUGCUGUUUCAAUAGAUAUCGGCACUUUGCAGUCUACAAAGAGCUGAGUUAGCUACAGCACACUGCUUUUUGUUAAAAUUUAAUACACAAGAAAGCGCCCGCAAAUAUCACGAUGUAUUUUACCGUUGUCUAGGACAUAACUCAAGAAGCAGCUAAGCGAAAACUAAUGGCAUAUAUGAAAUCUGCAUGAAAAGCUCUACAAUUGGUUCUCUUUUCAAACCUCUAGUACAAAGAAUAAAAAUAUUUCGAGUAAUAUUCAAUCAGCAAAACGUUCCCCUUGCUACAGUGACCUACAACAUAGCGACACAAAGUUUAAGGCAAGUCCUCUUGUCGAAGUGACUCUGCGCUGUCUUCCCAGGGGAUUCUGUUAAACACUGAAUUUUCCUGCAUUUGCCAGAAGUGCAGUACUAAAACGUUUGUGAAUGUGCAAUUGGUAUUGGCACACUAACAGAAAAAGAAACAGUUCUGUGAAAUACAGAAUCGACUAUCACUUUGUUCAACGUGUACAUUUUGACCCCAUAUCUUUGUUUUGUAUUUUGUACUGUGAGUUUCAGCAGUGACUGCCGCUAAUUAUUGAACAUAACUGCUUCACGACAGUGCGACAAUUUUCACUAACAGAAAUUUAGAGCAGUGGCAGGCAUUAGAAUUACAGUACUCAAUAACGUCUACUUUGUAAGAACUCAGACUAGCACCAGUUCCGAGAUGCACAUACCCAAAAAGUAAUGAUCGAAUAGAUUUCUCUUCCAUACAGAAUUGUCCCACAAGGCUUACAGAAGGCUUUUUAAAAGCAAAGUAAUAUCUGAAAGAGCAAAGCAUGUUCCACCAAGUAUGGUGUCAAAUAUUUCAGAGCUGCCAGUCUGAGGACUCCUACAAACUAACAAUACCUUCAGCACUGACUAGCUUCAAUAAUGGGAUGUAAGCAUUUUGCUGAAAUUAAUGAAACGUGAAAUAUUGUGAUCUAGUUUAAGAAGAGAUUUGCAAUUAUCGCGCAGUUAUAAUCUGUCACUUUUGUAAAUAUUUUCCAAUUAUUUUUUCACGCUACAAUUUUUGGUAAUAGUGGUAUUCAUUGCGGAAAGACCUAGUACAUGGCAUGUAAUAAUAAAGGUACUGCUCAUUGUAGAUUUUCUCUUCAGCAUUUGUUCUGUUCCACAGCUGUUUCUUGAAAUCUGAAAUGAUGUACCCAUCUCUUUGUUAGCAGUAAACAGGGAAAUCUGUCAGUAUGUUUUGUUUAAAAUACAGCUGAUCAAUGCAAUAGUUAGGCUAUUUGCUAAUUAUAAAUUACAACGAUAAUAGUGCAGGACCAUAAAAACAUAUUGAUGCUAACAGCUGUGCCCAGCUACAUCCACGCACGCAGCUGUGCCAUACAAUGUGCAUGUGUUCAGAAGAGCCAUAUGCCCCAGAAAGAAAACAACAGUAGCUCAUUGUUCGUCAUCUUGUACAAGCAGAUUAUGCGCCAGAUGUAAUUUAUGCUCAGUAAAUACAUAAAUCAGUCAUGUGAGGUGUCUCACUUUAGGUUGCAAGUUCGAAGUUCUUGUAAUCUUGCUUGUUUUUGUUUUGUUUCCUUUGUGAGCAUGAGUUGUGAGCAUGAGUGACUUGGCUGCCUUGGCACAUAUUGUCAAAACUGUUUCUUCAUCGCUGGGAAUCACGAAAGUUCAUUUACACAUAAAAUUCCCAGUUACUGAUAUGGUAGGCUUCGAGCUUAAUUCUCUUAUCUUUCAUAUGUUUAUCUACCAAGUAGUUUUGUCGUUCAUUGACACAUAUCCACGCAGUGCACAGUGGGAACCCAAAUUAUAAAUAUAUGCUCUUGCUUUCUACCCUGCUCUGGUGUUUUUGUAACCUAGCAUUGGUGCAAUGGGGGGGGGGGCCUGUCUGCACCUGCAGAAAAGUAGUGAAGUGGCUAAAGAUAAAGGUCAACAACAUAAUGAAGAUACAAAGCAAAAGAGUAAGUUUGCAAUCGUUCCCCAUAACCAGAGUUUCGCUUAGAAUUUGAAAAAAAAAAAAUUGACAUCCUGCUAUGGUGGGAGAGUUGCUUGUGGCACCAAGUGAACUGCGUAGCACCUGUGCUAGAGUACAGAACAAAGCAGAAAAUCACAAGGUUGGAGUGGCAGUGGUAAGUUAAGCACAGAGUUUUAUUUCAAGCACCAUUAAUGUGGCUUAUCUGCUCCUAUUUUGUUUUGUGGGAACGCAUAUAUUGGGAAGACAAUUUUUUGCGCCAAUGUUACCUUAGCGGGACACCAUAGAAAGGUAGAAAUCAAGAGUAGGUAUUCACAAUUGGUUGCCCACAGUGUAUUAUCUGGAUGUGUUUCACUCUAGAAAAGACUACUGUGGUAGAUAAUCAUAAAGACAAAGACAAAAGAAUUAAAAGAGGUAUGUGUCAGUCAUCCUUCCGUGACCUCCAGUGUUUAUAGAAACACUUUUUUCUGUAUGUGCCAAGCCGUAGGGAGGCUUUAUGUAACUCAGUCAUGCUUUCUAAGUUAUAUAUCGGAAUAAGGACAAUCACAAGAACAUUGUAUGAGUGAUUUGUAAAUGUGACACCUAAUGUAACUUAUUCAUGUAUGUGCUGAGGGUAGAUUACAGCCAGUGCAUAAUCUGCUCUUACAGGAUGAGUUGUGAUGAGUAAAAGAAGCCUUCCUCACAUCUUCCUCUUUGUUUCUUUUAGAUUUUGGUGCACCAUGUGUAUUGUUACAGCUGCAUGCAUGCAGCUGGGUAUAGUUUGUUUAUGUGUUCUGCUUCCUCCCUUGUCUUCAUCAUUCAUGUGCUCUCUUUGCCAUAACAAAAUACAGCUACCUGUGCUACAUAUUUUGUCAGCAUGCUUGCAUUAUGGCAAGUUUUGUAUUAGGGGUUAUUGCAAUCUGUGAAAUUGUCUGUCAGCUAUUAUACUUCGUCUUGGAAAAGUAUGUUUGUCAAUAUAAAUAAACGAUUAAUAUAAAUGUUGCUGUAUUUAUUUUUGUAAUAUUGUCAGUUAUGAAGUUUUUAUACACUGGUGCAUAUUGUAUGACAAAAUAAAAUUGAUGCUCAACUUUUUAA